rnacentral:rRNA from 1 species
AGUGAACGCUGGCGGUAGGCCUAACACAUGCAAGUCGAACGGCAGCACAGUAAGAGCUUGCUCUUACGGGUGGCGAGUGGCGGACGGGUGAGGAAUACAUCGGAAUCUACUUUUUCGUGGGGGAUAACGUAGGGAAACUUACGCUAAUACCGCAUACGACCUACGGGUGAAAGCAGGGGAUCUUCGGACCUUGCGCGAUUGAAUGAGCCGAUGUCGGAUUAGCUAGUUGGCGGGGUAAAGGCCCACCAAGGCGACGAUCCGUAGCUGGUCUGAGAGGAUGAUCAGCCACACUGGAACUGAGACACGGUCCAGACUCCUACGGGAGGCAGCAGUGGGGAAUAUUGGACAAAGGGCGCAAGCCUGAUCCAGCCAUACCGCGUGGGUGUAGAAGGCCUUCGGGUUGUAAAGCCCUUUUGUUGGGAAAGAAAAGCAGCGGGUUAAUACCCCGCUGUUCUGACGGUACCCAAAGAAUAAGCACCGGCUAACUUCGUG